rnacentral:lncRNA from 1 species
AGUUUAAUAUUUGUCGAAUUGAGUCCUUUGUAGAGUUUACUUUCACAUCGCGCUAUAGUGACUAAUAAAUGUGAGCAUGCGCAGGUGGUACAAUAAUCGCAAAAUCCAUUAGUUUAACGAAGUAACGUUUGUUUGUACGAGCGGACAAAGACGAAGGUGCUUACUACUCAAAGCAAAAACAUCGAACGUGACCCACGUGCGCACGUGACCCGAUCAACGGACUGCUCUGCAGAUGCAAGAACUCUGAGGAACAAAGAUGUCUCGCUGGAGUUGAAGGAUUGACAACAGGCAUACAUGUGUGGGUUGCUGUAGAUCUCCUGUCUUGGACCGAGAGCUGCGUCCAUUUCCCACAUGAUGGAAAGAAUUACUCCCUGAUUCUCCAAAUAGUCUUCUCUGAUCCUGCCUC